rnacentral:misc_RNA from 1 species
UUUUGUUGGAUCCAAAUGCGUCUCAACCUCUUCAAGGAGGCCAGAUAAAGGUCCAUUGCUCAGUUGUGUAACCAGGGGAUUUGCAGCACUUGAGUUUGUGCCAGCAGCCACAAGAGCUACCAGCUGCCUUUGACUUUCAGCCAAUUCCCCACUCAGUGUUUGAGUCAAUGAUGAAGCAGAGUUGAUGGCUUCUCUUAAAGCAAGAGCCAACGAAGAAUGUGCAGAUUCAAAAUGCUGUUGAGCUGCAGUUGUAUGUUCAACCAUCCCUUUACGGAAGGUGGAAUCCACUUGCUCAAACAUAGCUUUGCAU